rnacentral:rRNA from 1 species
UACGAAGGGGGCUAGCGUUGCUCGGAAUUACUGGGCGUAAAGGGAGCGUAGGCGGAUAGUUUAGUCAGAGGUGAAAGCCCAGGGCUCAACCCUGGAAUUGCCUUUGAUACUGGCUAUCUUGAGUGUGGGAGAGGUUAGCGGAACUCCGAGUGUAGAGGUGAAAUUCGUAGAUAUCGAGAGGAACACCGGUGGCGAAGGCGGCCUUCUGGACAGUGACUGACGCUGAGACGCGAAAGCGUGGGGAGCAAACAGG